rnacentral:lncRNA from 1 species
CCUGUCGUUUCUUUUGGACACUCGGUAUGGGCAUUGUCAGUUUGGUACUUGCUCAACCUUAAAUUUUUGUUUAACUAAGUCUAAAAGAUCUUACAGAGGGCAUCAUAACUUUUAAAAUUUUGUAAAAUGUAUGUGCAGUUUGUGUAUUAUUGCCAUAUAGUGACCUACUUACUAAGUAUAACUAAGGCCUAGUUUGAUAAUGUGGUUGCUAAAAUCAUUAUUUUUAUAUUAUGAAAAAUUCUAAAAAAGCUCAAAAUUCUUACAAUCUUUUUCUUUUUUGUACUAUAAAAUUACGGUUGCAACUGCCACCAAAGAAACAUGUGGCUUGUGUAUUUAGCCACCACAUUAUCAAACAAGGCCUAAGUGCCUAUUUGUUCUGAUAUAUGGUAUAGUGUUAUUCGAUAAAGCAUUAGCUAAAUAAUGCUAUUAAAAAAAAAAAACUACAUAAAAAGCCACAAAGAGGUUCUCUCUAUAGCACAAUCAAAAACCCCAAAUGGGAGUUUCUAUUUUUGGGAGACAAAAAGAGGCCCUAAGUCAAAAGAAUUGCAGGAAAUUAACCAAGCAACAGUUAUUGUGUUCCUGUGUAUAUUCAGCAGUCAAUUACAGGAAUGUUCUAAUACUGAGAAAAAAAAAAAUAACAAGAAACAAAUCAGGCCAUUAUAGCCAAACUUUUCUCUGUUGCACAACUCUAAUUUUCAUUAUAUUUUGAACUAACUAGUUCAUUUCAGAGUUGAAACGAACCAAUCAAACUAAUUUCCAGGUAAAAUUAGAUGAUACUUUGAAGGCAUAUUUCGAAAAGGAGUACUACUCCUGAUGGGAGGAACUGAUUGUUUCCUUUGUUGUAUGUCCUCAAACGAAUGGCUUUUCCAUUUAAUUGGCAUUUUUAGGGAGAGCAUGCAGUAGAAGUUGCUAAGCACCUAGAAUGAAUAUCUUCUAAUAUUAACAAAAAGUCCUGCAGUUUUGACUUGUCCAAUUAGAGCUUGGAGCAAAAUAAAGGAGGGGCCCGUCACCCGUGAGAUGAAAUUAAGCGUAGCAGCUAAAUUAGGAAAAAUAUCCAGUGGUUGAGGUUACCAGAUUCUGUGUGUUGUCAGAUCAUCUUGACACAUCUUACUGCACAUUCGACAGUUGUUAAAUUUCCUGCGAAAAAGAGCUAGAACACAAGUAUUACUACAAAAUAAUUACUAUACGGUGACGACUACUAAAGUCGCCACCAAAUGUAUAAAAUAUCAUAUUGUCGCCACAUCUUGUAGUAGUGUAUUGAUGUUCGCAUGGCACUAGCUAGGGAGGGGAUAUUGAUUAUUGGACACAAUUGAGCACCCCCUCUACUCCUUUAAUGUAGGUUGCAAUAAUUGCUUUGCGCGCACACACACACUAUCUCUUAUCUCAAGUUGCCCUAUCAGAUUGUAAGUUUGAGUCUUUGAAAUCUAUCUUAUAGCUUUUCUCUAUAUAUAUUUUAGCUAAGGUAUCUAAAUUUCAUUUUUACAGCAGAAUAAACUUCUGGGUUUCAAAAUUUCCUUGGAUUUAUAGGAUUGCCGCAAUAGAAACACAAUGUGUUCUUUUCAUCCAAAAAGACUAACUUGGAUGAGAUUAGCUAUGGAAAGAGGAAUAACCUCCAUUCUCCACCGUAUAAUUUGUACUAAUGAUCAGUGAUUGUGGUUUAUUAUCUCAUAUGAUUUCUUACAAUAUAACCAAAAUCUCAUCAAUUGAAAUCAUAUUUGUUAAAAAUUUAUUUAUUAGUUCUCAUAACAUAUCCCUAACCAAAAAAAAAAAAAUCCCCUUUUGAAAACAAUUAAUUAUAUUUGCUCUUUUAUUGUUUAAUUAAGUGCUUAUUACUGAAAGGAGACACAUCGAAAUAAUCUUAUAUAUAUUUCUACCUAAAUUCAACUUUAAUUUGUUUUGAGCUCAAAAAUAUUCAAUUUCUAAGUAACUUGAAUUAAGAUGAAUAGUUUGGGUGAGAUUGGGGGAACCAAGUGGUAGCCCACUACUUUGAAAUAUUUAAUAUUCAAAAGUGGCUUCUCCAUGGAUCCAAUCUAAAGGAACCAGUUUCAACCCUAACCACCAAUUGGGGAAUUAAAUUCCUUGAAAUGGAAGAUCAAUGAUCAUGUAUUAAUUAGUUGUCAUUAAAUGAUCAUCUAAUUUUUGCUUUUAUGUGGCAAACAUUGUAUUUUUCAACUCAAUUAUCACAUUACUAAUUUAAAAAAUAAAUUCUUAAAGUGCUUAUAAGCAUCUACAUAUUACUCGACACGAAUUCCAAAUUUAAGUCCACAUAGAAUAAUACAACUUCAGACUCGAUCGUCCGCUGAUCUGAGACCUUCAAAGUAAUUAAACUGAAAAAGUUUGUGUUAAAACAUAACUAAAAUUAUAUAAUAAUAAUUUGAAAACAGAGUGUAAUUCCCACUGAGGAAUCCAUGAACCUACCAUCUGUGUAACUUUUAAUUCUUGUUUUCAGAAAAGUUUCUUUAAUUUUUAAUUGAUUCUUCCCAUUAAGUACCAUCACUCAACAUGGCCCAGGAGAAAUUAUUGCCUGCACCAAGUGUAUUUAGAUGAUUAAUGUUUUGAAAAAAACCAAAUUAUUAAUGUCUACGAGUUUCAGAAAUCUGUAACUUAAGCAUUAAAUAGUUUCGUAUAUGGAAACUGUUAUAAAAAAAAAGAAAAAAAAACUGAAUCACAAAAAAAAAAAAGAAAAAGAGAGAUACCUCUAAAAUUUACGACCUAAGGGAAAUAUUUUUUUCAACAAAAUUUAACACAUCAAAUGAAUUACGAUUCUGAUUUAAAUUCCCUGUAUCAGUAUUUUUUUAAAAAAGUGAUAAUAAUAAUAAUAAUAAUGCACCUGGUCCAAUCGAAAAUUUGGAGCGACCCAACGACGAACUGGACGGGUCAAUGGUAUACCUACCAAAUAAUGCUGGACUGUUCUUUGCGAUGCGUACCGAGUAAAUUACCAAACAACUUCCCCAACAUAUCUUCAAGCAAAAUGACCUUUUUAGGAUUUUAGCUCAUAUUAUUAUAUGAAAUAGUUAACAAUUCAAUCAACUUAUUGUAUUAAAAGAUUAAUACCAAAACAAUCUAAAUCUAAAUGACUCAACCUGAAUCUCAAUAAUUUAAACUUCAAGAUUUAGCAACACAAUUAAUAUUCAAUUUACAGUAACUGGCGUUCGUAUAUAGUGUCUAACUGAAUGUUUGAUUUAUUUAGUAGAACUUUCGAGAAGGAUAAACUAAUAAUGGAUUUUCUGAUACGAGACUAAUAACUCAAAAAAAUGCCCACUUAAAUGUUACCACCCGGACAUAACCCCGGAUGGGGGAGUUAUUUGGUAGCAUAAGAGCGUAGGAGGAGCAGCCAACUCACCACCGCGGCAGAGCAGGCGUGCGUGUCGUAAUCUUUCUUUCUUCCGUCUGUGCCCCCUCCCCUCCUCCGCCUGUCAUGCCGCCCACUCUCUCCCACUCCCCACCCCCAUCUUAUAAUUAUUCGGGUGGACAUCCAUUCUAGUCCUAGUCAAACAACAACGCUGCUGUAGUGCUGUGGUAAUUGUUAAAAUAAUUAAUUAUUAAUAGUAAAAUUUAAACAAAUAUAAUAAUAAUAAUAACAGUAAGUAAGGUAACGGUAGGAGCAGUAGUAGUAGUAAUUAAGGCAUCUCUCUCUCUCUCUCCUUUUAUUAUUAUUAUUAUUAUUAUUAUUGCCCUAAUAUAUUUCUUUUUCUCUUUUUUUUUGUGUGUGGCUUCAUCUGGGGAGUAGGAGGAGGAGGAGGAGGAGGAGGAGUAGAAGAGAAGGAGAAGAGGGGAAAUGGAGGAAGAUGGGGAGGAGGAGGUGGAGGAGUACCUGUUCAAGGUGGUGAUAAUCGGGGACUCGGCGGUGGGGAAGUCGAACCUGCUGAGCCGGUACGCGCGGAACGAGUUCAACCUGCACUCGAAGGCGACGAUCGGGGUGGAGUUCCAGACGCAGAGCAUGGACAUCGACGGCAAGGACGUCAAGGCCCAGAUCUGGGACACCGCCGGCCAGGAGCGCUUCCGCGCCGUCACCUCCGCCUACUACCGCGGCGCCUUCGGUGCCCUCCUCGUCUACGACAUCUCCCGCCGCUCCACCUUCCACAGCGUCUCCCGCUGGCUCCAGGAGCUCAACAGUUAAGUACUACUGCUGUGCUGUGCUGUGCUCUCUACUCUACUCUACUCUACUCUACUCUACUACCCCCCCCAUUUAGAUCACAUCAGAUCAGAUCAGAUCAGCUCAGAUCAGAUCAGAUCAGAUCAUUUCGAAAAAGACCACUCACUCGGCUGGUUGGCUGGUUGGUUGGUUGGUUGGUUGGUUGGUAGUGACGGGGAUCUGAGAGCGUGCUGCUCUCAGAUCACGGGAAUAAGCAGCCCCUUCUUCGCAGGAUGAUGCGUGCGUUUUGUUUUAGGGAAUUUUGCUGGGGAAUUGGGAAUCUGUAAAUCUGACUGACUGCUUUUUACAUCCACAAAAUCUAUUCUUCUUGAGAUCUGGAUCUGGUCGAGCUUCUACAAAUUAGUAUUAUUCAUGUUUUGUUGCAUUUUAGGCUGCUUGUGCCCAGAUUACAUAUAUUCUUAGCUUGCCAAGGUCUUGAUUUUUUUUUUUUUUAAAAAAAAAAAAAAAAAAAAAAAAACAUAACUCACUGCUUGUGCUUCAGAACAUCUUUCAUAUGUUCUGAUAUAUGUUGCAUAUAUCAGAACAUCUUUUGCUCGCUCUUUCAUUGAUGUUGUGCAAUCUAAAUCUAAAUUAAUUGGCGCUUGAAAAUGAGUGAUACUUUACCUUUGUUAUUAGCGUAUCGAGGGAGUAAUUAGCAUUACUCCGUAACUCACUUCUUGUUAUAGUUAAUCAUACCCCGCACACCAGCUACUCGUAGUGCGCUGCAACUAUCUAAUCUCAAGUUAAUCGCUCGCUACGUGGCAAUAUUGGGAACGAUUUCAUUGCAAAAUAGCUUGUGCUUCUUAAGAGAUUUUGGCACCAAAUAAAAUAAAGGAGCUGAUCUAUGGGACACCCCCCCCUCCAGAGAUUGGCUAUGACGGAAAUUAGAAAUUUUAGUUUUUAUUAGCUUCAGAUCAGACAUCCGUGAGCUGAGCUUUAAAGUACUGUGAUGAUGAUCAAUGCAGCACAUUCGGACACGACUAUCGCGAAGAUGCUGGUCGGCAACAAAUGCGACCUCGCGAACAUCCGAGAAGUGUCGGUAGAAGAAGGCAAAGCCCUCGCAGAAGCCGAAGGCUUGUUCUUUAUGGAGACUUCGGCUCUCGACUCGACGAACGUCAAGACGGCCUUCGAGAUUGUGAUCAAGGAGAUCUACAACAAUGUCAGCAGGAAGAUCUUGAACUCCGAUUCCUAUAAAGCCGAAUUGACCGUCAACAGGGUGAGCCUUAACGGCGACGGCACAGAUGAGCAGAAACCGACGAGCAGAUUCAGUUGCUGCUAAAAGGUUCAUCUCUUGGGUGUUUAGUAUUUUAAGUUCCAGAGACCGAAGCUUCCCUUGUUGUCGGAGGUAAAAGUUUUACAUGAUUAAAUUUGGGUUUUUGGUAUUGUUAAAUUGCUGUAUGAGUAUUCAUUUUAAGUUACAUAAUAUGGAGGAGAAGUGUUGUUUCCAGAGAUGAUUCAUUUUUUCUGCUGUGUAAACAAAGUCAUGUAACUCUAAAUGGUUUAAUAAAGUGGUUAUAUUUUAGAACUUCUUUAAGUCGAGGGGGCCAUAAAAUAAAAAAAAAAACUCCUUGUUACUGCUGUUAUCUGUUUGAGCAUCAUUUCCAGAUAUUAUAGGCUUAAUCUUGCAGGUGCUGAAACUGAUUAUAGAAUUCUACAGUUCUAAGGGGUUCAUUAUAUAUGUCUGAAUUGCUUAGUUGAAUAAUAUAUUACGGUAAAACUAUAUAGAGCCCUCCAACCAUUUUCUUUAACUAUUGACAGUGUUUAAAUUUUAAUUAUUUUAAUUAAAUUUAUUUUAUCAAUUAAGUUGGAUUUUUUUUUUUUGGGAAAACUUCAAAAACCCCCCUGUGGUUUCGUAGUUUCUCACUUUGCCCCCCUGUGGUUUAAAAUAUAUCAAUUUGCCCUCCUGUGAUUUUGUUUUUCUCUUUUUCUUAUCAAUUUCAUUAUUUUUUUUUCUUAAAUCAGUAAUAAAGUUAAAAUUAAAGGAUACUAAAGUGAAUAUUUGAUAAAUCUAGAUGGGUAUCUGAAAUUUUUUGUAUAUAAUUUAACAAAAUAUUAACGAAAAAGCUACCGAAAAGAUAAAAACGAAACCACAGGGGGGGCAAAUUGAUACACUUUAAACCACAGGGGGGCAAAGUGAGAAACUACGAAACCACAUGGAGGGUUUUUGAAGAUUUCCCCUUUUUUUUUCAAAUCUAACAGUAAUUCUACAAAAAUUAACUGUUCUAUUGAUGAAACUGCAGAUUUUUCAAAUGUACCUUGGAGCUCAAAAUGCAUACGCUCUAACUUGAAAAUACUGUUUCCACUCCGAGAGAAACAUUUUUGAGGUUGUGAGUUAGCUAUUAACGCUUCUUCAAUUAGCUCAAUUUUUAGGGGGCAUUUGGUCCAGCGAUCGUUGAUCAGGAGGCUGUUUAAAGCCGGUUUGAUCCUGACCGUGAAAUGUGCAUCUCAUCUGACCUUGAUGAUUGUAUCGUGUGAAUUGUGAUCAGAUUUCACAUGUGGAUUGGGAUUCAGAGCGCUCACAAAAGAGGAGAAGGCUCGUUUAUUUAUUUCUUUAUUUAUUAUUUUAUUUAAUUCAGAAGGCUCAUUUAUUUUAUAUAUUUAUUUAUUAUUUUAUUUAAUCCGGGCGAAAGUUUAGUCCCACAUCGGAUGUUUGCCAUGCAGUGUUCGAGUGAGAGACUUUUAAAAGAGAUCGACGGUCGAACACUGGACCAUACUUACCUGGACGGGGUCUAUGGGCGAUCAAGAAGGCUCAUGGCCUAGGCCCGCGGCUCCCAUUGCACCUGGGGAGUGCGCUGGCCUACCAUCUCCCCAAGUGGGAGAGUGGACGUCAUAAUUUGUGGUAGAGGGGGUACGCGCACGCGCGGCCCCUACCAAUGACAAAUUUAAAUUU